rnacentral:rRNA from 1 species
UACGGAGGGGGCUAGCGUUGUUCGGAAUUACUGGGCGUAAAGCGCACGUAGGCGGACAUUUAAGUCAGGGGUGAAAUCCCGGGGCUCAACCCCGGAACUGCCUUUGAUACUGGGUGUCUGGAGGUCGAGAGAGGUGAGUGGAAUUCCGAGUGUAGAGGUGAAAUUCGUAGAUAUUCGGAGGAACCCCAGUGGCGAAGGCGGCUCACUGGCUCGAUACUGACGCUGAGGUGCGAAAGCGUGGGGAGCAAACAGG